GCGACGAGGACUCUGAACCUCGGGCAGGAGCGGGGGACCCACGUUUCCGGCGUCGCAGUUAGACGCCUCGGGGUGAAGCCACGCAUCGCGUGGCCGGGCCGACUCAGCCCGAACCCGACAGCUCACCUCGUAGGCGUGGAGAGGGUCGGA
rnacentral:sRNA from 2 species